GACGAACGCUGGCGGCAGGCUUAACACAUGCAAGUCGAGCGCCCCGCAAGGGGAGCGGCAGACGGGUGAGUAACGCGUGGGAACGUACCCUUUGCUACGGAAUAGCUCCGGGAAACUGGAAUUAAUACCGUAUGUGCCCUACGGGGGAAAGAUUUAUCGGCAAAGGAUCGACCCGCGUUGGAUUAGCUAGUUGGUGGGGUAAUGGCCUACCAAGGCGACGAUCCAUAGCUGGUCUGAGAGGAUGAUCAGCCACAUUGGGACUGAGACACGGCCCAAACUCCUACGGGAGGCAGCAGUGGGGAAUAUUGGACAAUGGGCGCAAGCCUGAUCCAGCCAUGUCGCGUGAGUGAUGAAGGCCUUAGGGUUGUAAAGCUCUUUCACCGGAGAAGAUAAUGACGGUAUCCGGAGAAGAAGCCCCGGCUAACUUCGUGCCAGCCGCCGCCGUAACAC
rnacentral:rRNA from 1 species